rnacentral:rRNA from 1 species
UACGUAGGGUGCAAGCGUUGUCCGGAAUUAUUGGGCGUAAAGAGCUCGUAGGCGGUUUGUUGCGUCGGCUGUGAAAUCCCCGAGGCUCAACCUCGGGUCUGCAGUCGAUACGAGCAAACUAGAGUGUUGCAGGGGAGACUGGAAUUCCUGGUGUAGCGGUGAAAUGCGCAGAUAUCAGGAGGGAACACCGGUGGGCGGAAAGGCGGGUCUCUGGGCCG